CGCGCCGCCUUGGGCGGAGCUGGGGACGGGCCUCCACUGGUCCAGGGAUGAGCGACGAGUUCAGUCUUAGUUUGGGAUUGUGCGGGCAUCCUGCGCAGUCCUUCCGGGUCCAUUCCUUGGUACUUUGAUGUUUUGGGGUGGGGCCCAUCUACAAAGGUGAGGAAGGAUAGGAAGGGCCCGCGGGCUGUAUGCAUGCGCCUUUGGAGUCUUUCUUGGCAUGUUUGUCUUUGUCUUCGCAGUUCACGGAGGCCAGGCUCUAACGCCCACUAGCUUCCCUGGCCUCGCCUUCCCAGCCUUCCUCUCACAGGCUUCUGCUCCAUCCCCACCUCCCAAUACCUGUCAAGGAGUGUUAGGGGACCUCAGCCCUUUUUUACAGUUGGAGACUGAGAGCUUGCUCUUGGGAACAGCCAGAAUAAGAUCAGAACCCAGUCUUUAGACUCCCAGCCUAAUGCUGUUUACAUUAUAGCAGUGGAUGUUUCCAGGAAUCCUGGCUCAGGAGCUUCCUCUAAAAGAAGGUUUCAAGACCAAAUGGGCUUGUUAAAGGUGCUGUCUCCCUUUCUUGGAGAUUCUUGAUGCUAUAUUCACGAUGCUCAUAGCAUAUCAAAGGCUCUGAGAAGUCCUGCUGUAAAAGAAGCCCGAGGAAUUUAGUUUGGUGUUAACUGCUUCUGGACCUGAAUCAGUUUUUCCUACCUUAAGGUUCCAAGCAGUCCUGUGUUGUCCUGGCCCAUUUAUCACCAAGGGGCCCAACUACUUGGCUGUGAUCUGUUUGAAGAUGUGAGGCAUUCCAUCUCCCAGGGAAUUUCUUUAGCAGAGGGACACUACCCUCCCAGCUCCCAGUCCCCCUCUGCCCCGGCCCCCCAUGAGAAGAUAGCUGCCCUUGUCAGGGACUUGGGAACUGUGGAUUUGAACAUUCCUCUAUAUUGUUUGGGAAAUGAAGCCAAGGUUGUCCAGACAGUUUCCCAGUCAAAAGGAACACCACCUGUGAGAGAUGCUGGCGUUGACGGUGAGCAGCUGGCCAGGAGUGGGUCACACCAAAGAGAGGAGAAAACUCUGGAUCAGGGGUGGACAGCUGGCCCAGCCUUGGUAAGGUCGCCACAUAAGCCGCAUCCUCAGCUCAGCUCCAGCCCUCUGAGGACCUCUUCUUAGCCCCCAGCCCAUGGUGCUCUGUCUGGGGUCAGGUGACCUUACGCAGGAGCAGAAGUCUCCUUGGCCUUUGUGGUACCUUAUCCAUCCAGAUGUGCCUGCAGCAUUCCAGAGCUCACUGGCUCUUCUCAGUGUGCCUUCCUGCUUGGCCUCCAGCUACUUCUCCAGAUGUGAGAAGGACAUGAAGAUGGCUCCCACACCCAUCCUCUCCUCCCCCUCGAGGCCCUGGGCCAUGGGAAUGGCCACCUGAGCUGGCCUGGAACUUUUGGAUACUGGAGGCAGUCUCAUUGGCGUCCCUCUUUGGCCUCUAGGACUCAAUCCAACCUGAGACCGCUGUGGGCUGCCCACAGCCCAAAAGCCCUUGCAGGCCCAGAAGAGGAUUUCUCAGUGUUCUGCAAAAGGCCAGAAGAGAGGGUGGGCAUGGGAGGGUGAGGGCAGAUGGGGAGAGUGGACCGAUGUGCCUUAUUCAAUAGUUUGGUGGUGAUUACUAAUAAUGCUUUUCUGAAUAAUAAAGUUUGGUUUGUCUGAU